rnacentral:rRNA from 1 species
UACGAAGGUGUCAAACGUUGUCCGGAAUAACUGGGCGUAAAGGGCGCGUAGGCGGUCGGGUAAGUGGGAUGUGAAAGCUCUGGGCUCAACCCAGGAAUUGCAUUCCAUACUGCUCGACUUGAGUUCGGUAGAGGAGGGCGGAAUUCCAGGUGUAGCGGUGAAAUGCGUAGAUAUCUGGAGGAACACCCGUGGCGAAGGCGGCUCUCUGGUCCGAUACUGACGCUGAGGCGCGAAAGCUAGGGUAGCAAACAGG